GUCAUAUCACAUUGAAACACCUGCUUGAUCACUGAUGUUAAGCAAUGUUGAGCUUGGUCAGUACCUAGAUAGGUGACUGCUUGGGAAUAGCAGGUGCUGUGA